AUAUCAGUCAUGCAUAGCAUAUCAAUAAGCGGAGGAAAAGAAACUAACAAGGAUUCCCUUAGUAACGGCGAGUGAAGCGGGAAGAGCUCAAAUUUGAAAUCUUCAAGGUUCUACCUUGACGAAUUGUAGUUUAUAGAAGUGUUUUCUGUUAGUAGGAGUGGCAAAAGUUCUUUGGAAUAGGACAUCAUAGAGGGUGAGAAUCCCGUAUUUGGUCAUUCCUUCUAGCGUUGUGAUACACUUUCAACGAGUCGGAUUGUUUGGGAAUGCAGUCCUAAAAUGGGUGGUAAAUUUCAUCUAAAGCUAAAUAUUGGCGAGAGACCGAUAGCGAACAAGUACCGUGAGGGAAAGAUGAAAAGAACUUUGAAAAGAGAGUUAAACAGUACGUGAAAUUGUCAAAAGGGAAGCGUUUGACACCAGUGUUGUUUUUCCGAAAAUCAAUUACGAAUGUUUUAGUUUUUAAGAAGUUAUGACUUCAUCGGCUUGCUUCUCUCUUUAUGAAACUUUCUUAAUGCACUUUUCGGUUAACAGGUCAACAUCAAUUUCUUUUGUUGUAAAAGGGUAUGAGGAAGGUGGCUUUCUUUUCGGAGAAAGUGUUUAUAGCCUUGUGCCUCUGCAAUCGGAGAGAUUGAGGUCUGCAGCGUAGAUCCUUCGGGGUUAGAUACAUUUGUGCUAAGUUAUAGCUUUUCAUAGACAACUUGUUGACUAUGUUUAGUCUUGUAGCUUACUCGCUUAUGCUAUUUUACCUACGCUUAGGAUGUUGAUCUCUCACAGUCGAGC
rnacentral:rRNA from 1 species